ensembl:snoRNA U3 Small nucleolar RNA U3
AAGACUGUAUUUUCAGGGAUCAUUUCUAUAGUUCUUUAUUUCUUUAUUUGGAAAUGUGUUUUGAAAAUGUCUGUUUUCCAACCCACGAUGAUGAGCUGUGACGCUCCUUUCUAAAAAUGAAUUAAAGAUUGAGCUGUGACUUUGGUUGCAAACUCUGUCAUUGAUGAGUGUUCUCUAUUGCUUUUGGUAAUGUUGAUCAAAGGGGUAUGAUCUGAGUGGC